CGCGCUCACGGCUCACUCAAAUAGACCCCGCCACAGAUCACAGAUUAACUGAUUUACCAUGGCAACUAGAGCCGCGUACUUUUCCCCGUCGGAAGCACAAAUCCUCAUGGAGGCAUACGAGGAGGUAAAAGAUAUAAUUAAGAAGAAAGGCAACACCGCCACAGUGAUAAAGCAAAGAGAAAAAGCGUGGCAAAGUAUUGCAGACCGCCUGAAUGCAUUAAACAUGAACUGGCCAAAACGGACAUGGCAGCAGGUCAAAAUCAAAUACAAGAACAUUCUGCAGAAUGCAGUGAAAAAGAAUACCCACAGACAAGGCACGGGUGGUGGGUCACCAAAGGCUGACCUUACCCCAGCAGAGGACAUGGCCUUGGAGCUAAAUAAAGGCAGGCCCGUCUUAGAGGGG
ensembl:lncRNA